CCUACGGGUGGCUGCAGUGGGGAAUAUUGCACAAUGGGGGAAACCCUGAUGCAGCGACGCCGCGUGAGUGAAGAAGUAUUUCGGUAUGUAAAGCUCUAUCAGCAGGGAAGAAAAUGACGGUACCUGAUUAAGAAGCCCCGGCUAACUACGUGCCAGCAGCCGCGGUAAUACGUAGGGGGCAAGCGUUAUCCGGAUUUACUGGGUGUAAAGGGAGCGUAGACGGCAGCACAAGUCUGGCGUGAAAGGCCGGGGCUUAACCCCGGAACGGCUUUGGAAACGUUGCAGCUCGGGUGCAGGAGGGGUAAGGGGAAUGCUAGUGUAGCGGUGAAAUGCGGAGAUAUUAGGAGGAACACCAGUGGCGAAGGCGGCUUACUGGACUGUAACUGACGUUGAGGCUCGAAAGCGUGGGGAGCAAACAGGAUUAGAUACCCGGGUAGUC
rnacentral:rRNA from 1 species